UUUUAGUCGUACGCCCCAACGACAGAAGUAAAACGAACUGUGAUGUUGCGAUACAACUUUAUGACCCAGAAGACAUCUGACAGCUCUGUUGUUCAUUAAGGAUUGUGUGGUUUUCAGUAUCAUAUGCCGAUCUUUUUGUAUGAACAUUGUGGAAGCUUUUGAAGAAUGCGUGUGAUCUUUGGAGAGAAUGACACAAUCCUAUGACCAAAGACAAGAUUCAAGACCAAAAGUUUAUCAUCUAUAAAGCGAUCAGGUACUUAAUGUCAGAUAUCAGUAUGCAAUACCAUAACAGAGAUGAAUUCAGUUUACUAUGAUCAGCAUUUCAAACUCUGUACAGACAAGUUUUUUAUCUAGCUGUUUCCAUCUGCCCAAAAACUGGGUUCAGGCGUAAUCUUUGACACAACCCCUCAAUGUGUCUGUGGCGGGGCAACAAAUUCAUCUAACCUUAUGAAUAUGGUUUGUUUCACUUCUUGCAGAUUAGCUUUCGAUAACCUCAUAAAUCGGCUGAAAUUGCAUAUAUUGCAUACCCAUGACACUAUCAAGGUGCACGACACAGGACGUCUUGUGAACUGGGUCAAAAAUUUUCAGAGGUCGAUAAUUUUUUUCUCUGUUGAAUAUAAUUAAACGAUAUACAG
rnacentral:sRNA from 1 species